GUGGAUUAGAUACCCUGGUAGUCCACGCCGUAAACGAUGGAUACUUGGUGUUGGAGGUAUUGACCCCUUCAGUGCCGAAGCUAACGCGUUAAGUAUCCCGCCUGGGAAGUACGGUCGCAAGAUUAAAACUCAAAGAAAUUGACGGGGGCCCGCACAAGCGGUGGAGCAUGUGGUUCAAUUCGAUGCAACGCGAAGAACCUUACCUGGGUUUGACAUGUACUGGAAGACUACCAGAGAUGGUGUCGCCUUCGGGCCGGUACACAGGUGCUGCACGGUCGUCGUCAGCU
rnacentral:rRNA from 1 species